rnacentral:rRNA from 1 species
AUACGUAGGGCGCGAGCGUUGUCCGGAAUUAUUGGGCGUAAAGAGCUCGUAGGCGGUUUGUCGCGUCUGCCGUGAAAUCCUCUGGCUUAACUGGGGGCGUGCGGUGGGUACGGGCAGACUGGAGUGCGGUAGGGGAGACUGGAAUUCCUGGUGUAGCGGUGGAAUGCGCAGAUAUCAGGAGGAACACCGGUGGCGAAGGCGGGUCUCUGGGCCGUUACUGACGCUGAGGAGCGAAAGCAUGGGGAGCGAACAGGAUUAGAUACCCUGGUAGUCCAUGCCGUAAACGUUGGGAACUAGGUGUGGGGUCCAUUCCACGGAUUCUGCGCCGGAGCUAACGCAUUAAGUUCCCCGCCUGGGGAGUACGGCCGCAAGGCUAAA